rnacentral:rRNA from 1 species
CCUACGGGGGGCUGCAGUGGGGAAUAUUGGACAAUGGGGGGAACCCUGAUCCAGCCAUGCCGCGUGUGUGAAGAAGGCCCUCGGGUUGUAAAGCACUUUCAGUGAGGAAGAACGCCUGGUGGUUAAUACCCAUCAGGAAAGACAUCACUCACAGAAGAAGCACCGGCUAACUCCGUGCCAGCAGCCGCGGUAAUACGGAGGGUGCGAGCGUUAAUCGGAAUUACUGGGCGUAAAGCGCGCGUAGGUGGCUUGAUAAGCCGGUUGUGAAAGCCCCGGGCUCAACCGGGGAACGGCAUCCGGAACUGUCAAGCUAGAGUGCAGGAGAGGAAGGUAGAAUUGCCGGUGUAGCGGUGAAAUGCGUAGAGAUCGGGAGGAAUACCAGUGGCGAAGGCGGCCUUCUGGACUGACACUGACACUGAGGUGCGAAAGCGUGGGUAGCAAACAGGAUUAGAUACCCUGGUAGUC